CAGCCGCCACGGUAAUACGUAGGUCCCGAGCGUUGUCCGGAACUAUUGGGCGUAAAGCGCGCGCAGGUGGUUUAAUAAGUCUGAUGUGAAAGCCCACGGCUCAACCGUGGAGGGUCAUUGGAAACUGUUAAACUUGAGUGCAGGAGAGAAAAGUGGAAUUCCUAGUGUAGCGGUGAAAUGCGUAGAGAUUAGGAGGAACACCAGUGGCGAAGGCGGCUUUUUGGCCUGUAACUGACACUGAGGCGCGAAAGCGUGGGGAGCAAACAGGAUUAGAUACCCGAGUAGUCCCUGUCUCUUAUAC
rnacentral:rRNA from 1 species